AUAAUACAUUGUCAUUUGUAAGGAGGGAAAAAAACAAAAAAACAAAAACAAAAAUAAAAAAAAGACAUUAUCGAUCAAAUUUAUUUUAUUUUAGUUUUAGUCAAGCACUCUUGAGGUGUAUAGUUUUGAUUGGGCUAACCAAAUUUGAUUGAAUCCAAGUUUGCUCUAUAAAUAAUAUCACAUGGACUUUAUUCCCUUCAUUCAUCCAUGCCUUGUUUUUUUUUUUUUUAUUUCCUUUUGGUGCUGAAUCCUUCAUUGAUCUAAGUCGGGGGCUAUAGGAAAUAAUUGCGAUACUUUGUUUUAUCUUCCUCCUUUGCAUCAAAAUGGCUUUCCCCAAGCUCUUUAUUAUCACAACGGCUAUCAUCUUGCUGAUAUUCUCCGCAGUUGCUACUGCCAUGCUUCAAGAUGCAAAACUCAAUCUGAACCUCGGAAGAAGAGUUCUUAGUGUAGCUAACCAGCGUCCCCACCACCAACAUGACUCUGACUUAUACAGAGCACCACCCUAUGAUGGCACACCGGAUCCACCAUCCCCUGGCGGCUUCGUCCCACCAGCUGGGUAAGAUACGCUUCCAUCCCACGGCAAGUCCACCAGAAAAGAGUACUUGCUUAGCUAGCCACCGGAGAAGCAAUAUGGAUGUUAGAGAAGGAUCGAUAUGUUACCCUAUUUAAUGUGAUUUAUAAUUGAAGAUGAGUCUACGCUAUAGAUUUAACUGUGUUUGCAUAAGUGCUAAGAGUAUGUGUUUGAUGCUACAACCCAGUAUAAUUUUAAGGAUGGUGUGUUAAUUACCAUUGUAUGCGGUAUGUGCUCCAGUUUAUUAUUAUAGCAGCUAGGUUUCAAAAUUAUAAUAUAUUAUAAACAGCUUGUUAAUUAGGUAAAAUUUUAUAACGUCUCAGUUUUUUAUUUUAUUUCUA